rnacentral:tRNA from 1 species
AAUAAGGUGACUGAAUUAUAGGUUGUAAAUUGUAAAUUUAUAUAUGGAUAUUUCCUCUUAUU